UGGGUGAUCUGCCCUGCACUUUGGGAUAAGCCUGGGAAACUGGGUCUAAUACCGAAUACACCCUGCUGGUCGCAUGGCCUGGUGGGGGAAAGCUUUUGCGGUGUGGGAUGGGCCCGCGGCCUAUCAGCUUGUUGGUGGGGUGAUGGCCUACCAAGGCGACGACGGGUAGCCGGCCUGAGAGGGUGUCCGGCCACACUGGGACUGAGAUACGGUCCAGACUCCUACGGGAGCA
rnacentral:rRNA from 1 species